GCUUGGGUGGCUCAGUUGGUUAGAGCGUAAGUCUCAUAUUCGCGCAUGAGUUUCUUUAUAAAGAAAUUGAAUCUUACGUAAUAUCCCGUGAUCUUAAGGCCGUGGGUUCGAACCCCACCCCGAGCA